CCUACGGGAGGCAGCAGUGGGGAAUUUUGGACAAUGGGCGCAAGCCUGAUCCAGCCAUGCCGCGUGCGGGAAGAAGGCCUUCGGGUUGUAAACCGCUUUUGUCAGGGAAGAAACGGUCUGAAUUAAUACUUCGGACUAAUGACGGUACCUGAAGAAUAAGCACCGGCUAACUACGUGCCAGCAGCCGCGGUAAUACGUAGGGUGCAAGCGUUAAUCGGAAUUACUGGGCGUAAAGCGUGCGCAGGCGGCUUUGCAAGACAGAUGUGAAGUCCCCGGGCUCAACCUGGGAACUGCAUUUGUGACUGCAAGGCUGGAGUGCGGCAGAGGGGGAUGGAAUUCCGCGUGUAGCAGUGAAAUGCGUAGAUAUGCGGAGGAACACCGAUGGCGAAGGCAAUCCCCUGGGCCUGCACUGACGCUCAUGCACGAAAGCGUGGGGAGCAAACCAGGAUUAGAUACCCUGGUAGUCCACGCCCUAAACGAUGUCAACUGGUUGUUGGACGGCUUGCUGUUCAGUACGAGCUAACGCGUGAAGUUGACCGCCUGGGGUAGUUAGGCGCGAGUUAGUAACGACGAGAGAGUUAGACGGCGNGAGACGNGCGACGGCGACGACGAGGGAGGAGG
rnacentral:rRNA from 1 species